UGCCACAGCAGACUGAUCUCGCC
rnacentral:piRNA from 1 species